CAGUAACGAUCGCAGUGCUGCUCCACUCCCUACGACGGAUCCCACGCGGCUCCAUUACUACCUGACAGGCCACGAUAAAUGGCCGCGAUCCUGCUCCACCUCCUGCAACGGAUACCGCGCGAUUCUCCCAUCCGCUGGCAAGUCACGACAACAAACGCCGCCCCACUUCACGUGGCAGACUCCACGUGGCACGCCCCAGUGAUAGCCACGGGUCCAUUCCACUACUCUUCGCAGCAAACUCCGCCUGACCCUGGGCAGCCCACUGCCAGACGGUUACAGAUACCGCCAUCAACCCGUUAUCUCCCCCGCCUAUAAAAAGGAGGACCCAGAUACGUUAUUCUCUAAGCUCAUUUCUUAUCUCAAAACUCUGCUAAAUUCUCCGUUCGAGCGCUCCAUUCUUGUUGAGGCAGAGAACUGACUUGAGCGUCGGAGGGUCUUGCCGGAGCAACCCCACCUCCGGUUUAGACUUCCCUUGCAGGUCCCGGC
rnacentral:lncRNA from 1 species